rnacentral:tRNA from 1 species
GAUCUGGUGUAAUUGGUAGCACGGAGAAGUUUGAAUUCUCAGGUUAGGUUCAAGUCCUAAGGUUCUAG